rnacentral:rRNA from 1 species
GCCUGCAACAUAGCGUUAAUGCACUGGAUCCCAUUAGAACUCUGUAGUUAAGUGCACUUAGGCUAGAGUAGUACUAGGAUGGGUGAUCGCCUGGGAAGUCCUAGUGUUUUACAUGCC